UACGUAGGGUGCAACCGUUGCUCGGAAUUAUUGGGCGUAAAGCGCGCGUAGGCGGUUACUCAAGUCGGAUGUGAAAGCCCUCGGCUUAACUGAGGAAGUGCACCCGAAACUGAGUAGCUAGAGUACUAAAGAGGGUCGCGGAAUUCCCGGUGUAGAGGUGAAAUGCGCAGAUAUCGGGAAGAACACCCGUGGCGAAGGCGGCUCUCUGGGACGGUACUGACGCUGAGACGCGAAAGCGUGGGGAGCGAACAGG
rnacentral:rRNA from 1 species